AUCCGUUCUGUUGUACUUAUCCUAUUCCGGGUCACAGGAUGAGAGGUGGGGCACACACUGGACAGGUUGUCAUGCUGUGGCAGGGCUAACAUAGAGACACAGAAACAUCAUGGACUGCAGGGGGAUGUCAAGUACCACAAAUACAACUGUCAGUGGUGAAACCGAAGAUAACAGGAUCACAGAGCUCCCCACAAAGCAGUGACACGCCCACCUGAAACUCUUGAUAUCAACAUAAAUUCAAACUGUCAUUUAUUCAUGUGUUCCUAUCGUCUACAACAUGGACAUUUUUGUAUAUGGUCACCUCAGCUUUUUGAUAUUUCUGCUUUGGAUCAAAGGUCUAACUGAUGCCAAGGAUGUCAGACAAACACCCAUGCUGUGGGAACAACAGGGUAAUAAUGCAACAAUGGACUGCAGCCAUACCAAGGAUGCUAACUAUAUCCAGAUGUACUGGUACAGACAGCUGCCAGGAGAAAAUAUGGAACUGAUUGUGUUCACAACAACAGUCAAAAAAUCCGAUCACGACUUUGGAAAAUUCAGCAAAGAGAAAUACUCAGCCACAAAGACUGAGGUUCAUGAUGGGACAUUUACAGUGAAGAACCUGGAGCCAAAAGACAGCGGCUGGUAUUUCUGUGCUGUCAGUGAGCACAGUGAUACAGACUCAUGUGAAAGCUGAACAAAAACCCCACUGAAUGGUUGGCACGAGUGUUGCAAUUAUUCCCUGUACUGUAGGGGGACCUCAAGUACAACUACAGAUCAGAGGAUCAUAUGAAGGUCUUCAACU